rnacentral:rRNA from 1 species
GCCUACGGGGGGCAGCAGUAAGGAAUAUUGCACAAUGGGGGAAACCCUGAUGCAGCAACGCCGCGUGAAGGAAGAAGGCCUUCGGGUUGUAAACUUCUUUGAUAGGGGACGAUAAUGACGGUACCCUAAGAACAAGCCACGGCUAACUACGUGCCAGCAGCCGCGGUAAUACGUAGGUGGCAAGCGUUGUCCGGAAUUACUGGGUGUAAAGGGCGUGUAGACGGGAUUGCAAGUCAGAUGUGAAAUUCCCAGGCUUAACUUGGGCGCUGCAUCUGAAACUGUGAUUCUUGAGUGUCGGAGAGGAAAGCGGAAUUCCUAGUGUAGCGGUGAAAUGCGUAGAUAUUAGGAGGAACACCAGUGGCGAAGGCGGCUUUCUGGACGAUAACUGACGUUGAGGCGCGAAAGCGUGGGGAACAAACAGGAUUAGAUACCCCGGUAGUCCU